UUUAUAUUUGUGCAGCUGCACUGUUGAGCUUCUGAUGUAAAAUAAAUAAAUAAUAAUAUUCAAAUAAUAAUGUGUGCCGGUUAUCUCCUGAUCUUUCAAGUAAGCACCGAAGAUCAUGACAGUUAGCCCAAAGUACAUGUAAGUACCGGUAGAUGACUCUGGAUUGGUAAGUCACGGAGUCAUCGUGUCUAUGUCUACAAAAGAAUGAUAACAUUAUCGUCCCACUGUGUGUCCGUCAACAGGUUAUUAAUGUUAUCGUCAACAUGGCCACCAUGCGGCGCUUACUCCAAACCGUGAGCCAGCCUGUAGCCAGUCUGGUUGGCUUCCAUCACAUACUUCACAGCCAGGAAACGUCAGUGGCAGACUGGAUGAUGUUUUUGGUAUUUUGCCAACCCGACAGAAUCGAUUUUCGUGUCCCAAUCAUCAGUGGAUCGGAACUGAAGUCAGUUGGAAACCGGUUCACGGAUCGACUGCGUCGCGUGGCGAGUCUGGCGACAGGCCAUGAUGCAGCGCAGGCCGGCAGGCGGCAGUGUGGUCAGAUCUGACAACGUGGCUCAGUUGAUGCUGGCGGAACCUGCAUCAUCAUCAACUGCAUCAUCACUCUGCCAAGUGAGUACGAGUGUGCCUAGGCACCUGUACUGCUGUCUCCAUCGUGCACGUAACGUCGUUACGUGUGCCUCAGACUGAGUCAGUGCACAUGCUGCAUGGCACAGCCUUGUCGAAAUCGGCAAUUAUUUUUCAGCAGAAUAUGCUUUUACUAGUUUUAGAGGAAUGGUGAGUAGGCCUCGGAGGAUAACAUGGCUAAUGCUAGCAUUAUAGGUAGCGUUAAAGUGUGCGAUUUGGAAUGAGCACAAUGCUAGCACGGUUAUUUCUGUAACUACUUAGAACCUUCCAAGCUGGAAGGCUGUUGUCGUGUUUUUGUUUUGUUUUUUGUUUUUUUUUACUAGAGCCACGUAAACCCGUCAUGUGUGAGCCAUGAAUAAGGGGAAUGGUGGCGUGGUCUGGGAUGCUCUGCCGACCUUGGGUCUCGGCUUCAUCACAA